GAGAAGCCCACUGACGCUGUGACCUUCAUCAGUGCUGCAGUGGUUGUUCUAACUGUCACCAUCAUCACAGCUGUGGCAUUUGUAACUUACAAAAUGAAGAAAGCCAAAUGUUCUACAUCCUCUCCUGGUGAUAGCUCUGAGCAGUCUGAGAGACUAAAUCCACAAAGUUGACUGUCCUGCCAAGAGGUCUUCUCUUCACUGUCUGUGUGACUUUCCUCCAGCUACUGCAGUUUAUUCUAUAGUUCAAAGACAUAUGUUAAAAACACUAGUAAAUAAAACACAGGUAAUGAUCACAUUUUGCAGAUCACUGGGAACAGGCUGCUGCACUUACUGUAAAUUAGUGCACAGUGAUAUAUUUGUAUCUAGCUUAUGUGUGUACCUGUUUAAUACAUUUGUGAUUUUAUUCUGCUUCAGUAUGUAAUCCCUGUAUUGAUGCAGUGGUAUCACAAGUCUGUGACAAAGCAAAAGUAAAUUAUUCAAAUUAGUUGUGCAUCAAUGACAGUUUGUUAAACCUGAAGUUUGUGAUUUUACUGAGACACUGGCAGUGUACAAAGCAUCUGGUAUUUUCCAAAUGACACCAAAACAUCUGAAAAAUGACAGCAACAGACUCUCAUUUGGAAAUAAAAUGUUGUGAGUUUAUUAUUUUAUUCUUCUGUAUAAAUAACUAACCCCCUGCAUUUGAUUUGGGAGGUCACAUAACUUUUUUCUUUGACCACCUUUGGCAGCAAUAUUGUGUGCACAAACUACUCUAACAACAAACUCACCAUGUAUGUUGUACCGUUUUCAUGACUUCUGUACAUACUGAUGACCAUUUUAACAAAAAAAUUUAGUUUAGAUUCAUCACUCCAUCAGACCUGUUGCGACAGAUUUGUGAUCCAUUGCUUGUAUAAAUUGAGAGCAAACCUUCCACUGAGACAUUGAUGAGGCUUCAGUAAACAGUGGAUGGAUCAGCUAAAGGGCCAAAUGUGUCUCAGGUUCGGUGUCUAGUCUCUGUUGGACUUUUUUUUAAUCACAAAAAUAUUUGUGCUAAAUCCAUUUUAAAUAUCCAGUGUUAUUACAUAUUUAAAUAUUGUUUGCUUAUACACACAUAAGCAUUCUGACAUGAAGAUUACACUAUAUUUACUGGCUCACGUCACUGUGACGAAUGCAAGAAUCAAUGUACUUAUGUUAUUAUUGUUAUAAUAGCUUUGCAUGUUUUAGAUUGAAGCUAUUUUAUUUUGAGUCAUUUCUAACGAAUCAGCAGCUGGGAGCUCAUUCUGGAGGGAUAGAAUCUGAACCCUGAAUGUAUGAAUCACAAAAGGGGAAAACUAAAAUACAUUAAAGUUAGGUAAAUUGUAACAGGAUAAAAAGUGAAAUAAAUUGGAUUAGAA